rnacentral:misc_RNA from 1 species
UCUCCGUUGGUGAACCAGCGGAGGGAUCAUUGCUGGAAGCGUCUCACGGCGCACCCAGAUACCCUUUGUGAACCAUACCUCUCUGUUGCCUCGGCGCAGGCUGGGAGCUUCUGUAAACUCCCCCACGCGGACUCGCCUCCGCGCGGAGCAGGCCCGCCGGCGGCCCACAACCCAUUGCCUGACGCGCUGCAUCUCCGAGUCGCACACAAACGAAUCAAAACUUUCAACAACGGAUCUCUUGGUUCUGGCAUCGAUGAAGAACGCAGC